AAGUCGUAACAAGGUUUCCGUAGGUGAACCUGCGGAAGGAUCAUUAAAGUGAUUGCGUAUGCUUCUGCGUAAGUAGCUGCAUAUGCAAGCUUUUACCUUGUGUUGUGUUUUGUGUGUGUGUUUAUUCUCUCCCCCUUUUAGUGAGAGCGGAUAUACACAUGUAUUUUUUAACCUUUUCAAUUUAUUCUUAUACAUCUGCUCGUAAAGAGCACAAACAAUCGAAAACUGCCAGCAACGGAUCACUCGGUUCUC
rnacentral:misc_RNA from 1 species